CACGCCCUCAGGAUGGAGAGCACGGCAGUCUCCCUCAGCCCAUCUUAGAGGAAGGAAGAGAGGGGGAGGGGGGAGGUCCCUUUAAGAGACCACCAGGUCCCCGCUCCAGAAACCCCAAGACAGUCACAUGGGCCCCAGAUGGGGAGGGGCCUAAAGAGGAAGAGGGGGGGCAUGGGCAGGAAGAGGAAGUGUUGAAACGGGAAGUAGAAGAACGUCAGAAGCUGCAGAGGCUGGAGAAGGCAGGGAUUAAAGUUCUACCUGCUGUGAUUCGCUACAGCAGACCGACGCCCCCUCCGGAGAAACAGGAAGUGAGGUCGCCAUCCCCUAACAUCAUUCUGCGUCGCCAUAACGACUUCCUGACCAACCAGAAGGCUG